rnacentral:rRNA from 1 species
UGGGGAAUAUUGCACAAUGGGCGCAAGCCUGAUGCAGCGACGCCGCGUGGGGGAUGACGGCCUUCGGGUUGUAAACUCCUUUCGCUAGGGACGAAGCUUUUUGUGACGGUACCUAGAUAAGAAGCACCGGCUAACUACGUGCCAGCAGCCGCGGUAAUACGUAGGGUGCGAGCGUUGUCCGGAAUUACUGGGCGUAAAGGGCUCGUAGGUGGUUUGUAGCGUAGUCUGUGAAAUUCCGGGGCUUAACUCCGGGCGUGCAGGCGAUACGGGCAUAACUUGAGUACUGUAGGGGUAACUGGAAUUCCUGGUGUAGCGGUGAAAUGCGCAGAUAUCAGGAGGAACACCGAUGGCGAAAGCAGGUUACUGGGCAGUUACUGACGCUGAGGAGCGAAAGCAUGGGUAGCGAACAGG